rnacentral:lncRNA from 1 species
ACACAAAAUGGCGACACGUGGUUAGCAUUCGUCGCCAACGAGAAAUUGGGGUCGGCCCGAAAGCUCUAGAAUGCACCCCUCUUCCUCCCCGGGGCCUUCCACCUCCGCGAGUUUUAUGACUUAAAAAAGCCCACAGGCUGGUCUGAAGGUCGGAGGCCUAAUUUUAACGCGUUUUCCUCCCUUUAAUUUGAAACGGGAACGCGAAUGACUGUAAAAUAGGAAGACAAACAUAAAGAUGAAGUGCUUAAUUCAAGGUCACACAAUGUCGGGGAUGGACCUCCAGAUUUCCUUACUGGUGAGACGUGGUCUUGUAACACAGUGGUUAAGAAUGUGACUUUGGAGCCAGCCUGCUAGGGGCUGAAUUCUGACUCAGCCAUUUACUAACUGUGUGACCUUAGGUGGAGUCUCACUCUGUAGCCCAAGCUGGAGUGGCGUGAUCUCGACUCACUGCAACCUCCGCCUCCUGGGAUCAAGUGAUUCUCGUGCCUCAGCCUCCUGAGUAGCCGGGACUACAGGGGACCAGAUGUGCAGAGGUAAUGAAUACCAGGGAAUCAGGAAACCACUGGAUCAGUUCUUUGAGCCACAGAACAACACUCAUCCCAGCAGCUGGGAAGCUAUCUGCAAAAGUCCAUCUGCAGAAAGGGCUUCCUGGUCUUGCGUGUGGCUGGGCCAUUUCUCUGGAUGCAGGUUUUUCAUUAUACAGUCUUCUCAAAGAACCACCUGCUCUCAACACCUUCUCGGUGACUCCAUUUCCCCUCCUC